GAUGAACGCUGGCGGCGUGCUUAACACAUGCAAGUCGAACGGAAAGGCCCAAGCUUGCUUGGGUACUCGAGUGGCGAACGGGUGAGUAACACGUGGGUGAUCUGCCCUGCACUUCGGGAUAAGCCUGGGAAACUGGGUCUAAUACCGGAUAGGACCACAUUUUGGAUGGUGUGGUGGAAAGUUUUUCGGUGUGGGAUGGGCUCGCGGCCUAUCAGCUUGUUGGUGGGGUAAUGGCCUACCAAGGCGUCGACGGGUAGCCGGCCUGAGAGGGUGUACGGCCACAUUGGGACUGAGAUACGGCCCAGACUCCUACGGGAGGCAGCAGUGGGGAAUAUUGCACAAUGGGCGCAAGCCUGAUGCAGCGACGCCGCGUGGGGGAUGACGGCCUUCGGGUUGUAAACUCCUUUCGCUAGGGACGAAGCGCAAGUGACGGUACCUGGAGAAGAAGCACCGGCUAACUACGUG
rnacentral:rRNA from 1 species